rnacentral:lncRNA from 1 species
AUCGAUUGCGAGGAGGACAAUUAAGGCGUGUGCGCGAUCAGCCAACGCAAGGCGUAAGCACGCCGGAACAAGACGAGCAAGUGCCAACAGGCGUAAGCACGCAAAUUCCGGAGUUGGAGGCUAGCGGAAGUUGGCAAAAGUUGAUCUGUGAAGUCGUUGGUCGUUUGGAACAACAGGAUGAGGCAGUUACCGUAAUGGAC